UAGAUAAAGAAAUUCGCCUACAAACCCCAACAUCAGCCACUAUUGCAGUAUUUGCAUUCUCGGACAUGUGACUUUACAACAAGCUGAAGAGAAAUGGCUGCGUACUUUACCAGGCAUGUCUGCGCAACGCUGCUUCGCAGCUCUGGGCUUGGAUUCGAUGCUGGCAAUUGUGGUGACGUGUACUAGCGUGCGCAGGCCCUGCACGAGUGCAGAGACGCAACGCAGACGCUGCCCAGACUGCCCUGAAGAGGGCGCUGCUGCUCUGUCUGACAUUCUCCUCAACAGAACCACAUUCUGGAUAGCAUCAUCCACAUUAGGAAGAUGACAUCUCUGAUGGAAGGAGCGAGGACACUCAUCACAGCAUAUCAAGCUACCCUGGCUUCUACAGAUGAAGCAGUCGUCAUCGUUAUCCUGAUCAUGAUGCCAAGACAGAGAAGAGAGGAAGGUGACUGGGAGCUGGGUCUUGUAGAUGGGCCAGGUCCAGAUGUCAUCUUUCUCCCCCUUCCUGGAAGCAAAACCUGCAUGGGGACAAAUUCCAGACAAACAUUAAGAUGUGACUUGAAAUUUAAAAUAAAAAUAUUUUCCCCCUAAAAAAGGUUA